rnacentral:rRNA from 1 species
CCUACUAACUCCUACGGGAGGCAGCAGUAGGGAAUUUUCGGCAAUGGGGGAAACCCUGACCGAGCAACGCCGCGUGAAGGAAGAAGGUUUUCGGAUUGUAAACUUCUGUUAUAAAGGAAGAACGGCGGCUACAGGAAAUGGUAGCCGAGUGACGGUACUUUAUUAGAAAGCCACGGCUAACUACGUGCCAGCAGCCGCGGUAA